UAAAAGCACUUGCCUGGAGGCGACCGAUAUGAAGAGCAAUGUCCAGUACACACAAGUUACGUGAAUCUUCAUUUUUUCGCGGGUCUCACAUCACAAAUCACGUAGAAAAUGCUGUUGUCAGCAGACAGACACUUUUAUUAAACGUUGGAUAAUGUCAUUGCUCCAUCACCAUAUCAUUGUGGUUGCCGCCAUCACUACCGCUUUUAUCACUGUAACUACCUCCAUCUCCAUACCGAUUCUGCCAUCACUGUCGCCACCAGUCACUGCUGCUCAAAAACUGACGUGUAAUUGAACCGUUGGCGUUGACAAGAUUAAUUCGUUAACGAGCUUGUCAGCAGCUUCCUUUAUCAUAAUGCGAGGCCAAUUUUUCUAAGGAAUAAUUACGAUCAACCACGGGAGUGUACAUUUUCCUCAGAACACGCAUUGUGGGCUAUAACGUUAUAACAAAAACAGCUGAUUCGACUGACGCAUGCGCCCGGCGCGCCUGAAAAUAAUGUAUGUAAUGAUUUUUCAGAAUUUGACUGUAAUAUUUGAGGUAUAGUGAGUAUCACAUAUUGGUUUAUUACAUUAUUUCUAUAAUAAUUCAUUUCAAGCUUUUAUUUGAAGUCUCCAUUUUUCGGAAUUUUUUUGGUGGUUUUAUUUUUUUAAAAGUAAGAUUAUUAAUAACAGCAACUGGAAAAAAUCUGUAACGUGUGUUUUUGAGAGCUAAGAUAUGCUUGAAUUUUUUAAGAAUGUUUAUUGUAUAUUUACUUAAAUAGGUAGUUUACUUUAUUGAGAUAUUUUUGGAAAACAUUUUAUGGGUAAUCACAUGAAUUAAUUGUACAUUAACUUUAUAAAAAUCUACUACUAUAUUACAGAUCAUAUUUAUUUAAACAAUUCUCAGGUUAGUAGAUGAUACAAGUAAAAAAUAAAGAAUGUAAAAUGUUGGCUACGCUGAUCCAAACAAAAUGACAAUGUAUCAGAUUGUAUGCAAGAAGCAAUGAAAGAACACACCUGCACCGCAUCUCACUGUAUGGAUUAUGAUUAUACUAAGUAAUAAGAGAUCAUCUAAGUCUAAGGAAUGUUAAGACUGGAAGAUGAUGUAACAGAGUCUUGAACAAAAGAAGGAAUGCUAGAAUCUUCAUACAUUUUCAUUUUAAUGCCUAUAUUUUUCUAUUUUAAUCUUUUAUUUUAUUCUUUUUAGAUAAGUAAACUGAGACUAGAUUCAGUUAGUAGACUCAGUUCAGCAUAAAUAAAAAAUGGCUUCAAGUUAUGCAAUUUAUAUGAGUGCAUUUAUUCACUAAUUAAUAUUUUAUUUAAUUUAUGAUAUUCUUGUUGGGAACACUGGAAUAAUGGAGGGUUGACUAGAUACUUUUAAAUAAAUGUACGUUUGGUGACUA